rnacentral:rRNA from 1 species
UUAGGAGUAAGCUACAGUUCGAGUGACUCGAC